rnacentral:misc_RNA from 1 species
UGGACACAAUUUGGUUAUAAGGUUGGGCCGCUAUAGAACGCGAAAGUUCCAAGAAAAAUUCGCAGAUUCAAGUACUACGUAGCUCAAUAGUAGAAUCUUAUGACAAAGUUAUGAACUUCAAGCGAAACUUCCAAUGGAACAGCACAAAAAUCCUCAAACUCCACCUCCAUGACUGAAUAAAGCCCUUCCUCUGAGACCCACUAGACUAAGACAUCUUUGUUCCAAUUCACUGACUCCAAGGAUCAGCCAGUGUGCCCCCAUGCUGCUUGACUAUUCGAACUGCUUGCAGAAGAAUAUCCUGUUGGGCAGAAAACAGUUUGUCCUUG